CGCUGUUCAGGAUUAGAGCGAGUCUCCUACGAUCGCUGAAACUUCUGUCCAGGACAGCCAGGAUGCUCUGCAGGAACAGUGAAAGACUCAGAGAAACAGGAUGACAGGAUAAAGGAGACCAAAAAUUAGCAGAUAGAAGGAAUGACUGAAGAUGAGAGAGAAUGUGAGAUUGAAGAUCUGGAAGGUAGUGGAAGAAG